UUAAGGCUGAGCUGUGAUGGGGAGAAGACAUUGUGUCUUCGAGUCGUUGAUUUCACACUGCCGAGAAAAGCCUCUAGAUAGAAAAUAGGUGCCCGUACCGCAAACCGACACAGGUAGUCAAGAUGAGAAUUCUAAGGUGAGCGAGCGAACUCUCGUUAAGGAACUCGGCAAAAUGACCCCGUAACUUCGGGAGAAGGGGUGCUCUUUAGGGUUAACGCCCAGAAGAGCCGCAGUGAAUAGGCCCAAGCGACUGUUUAUCAAAAACACAGGUCUCUGCUAAACCGUAAGGUGAUGUAUAGGGGCUGACGCCUGCCCGGUGCUGGAAGGUUAAGAGGAGUGGUUAGCUUCUGCGAAGCUACGAAUCGAAGCCCCAGUAAACGGCGGCCGUAACUAUAACGGUCCUAAGGUAGCGAAAUUCCUUGUCGGGUAAGUUCCGACCCGCACGAAAGGCGUAACGAUUUGGGCACUGUCUCAACGAGAGACUCGGUGAAAUCAUAGUACCUGUGAAGAUGCAGGUUACCCGCGACAGGACGGAAAGACCCCGUGGAGCUUUACUGUAGCCUGAUAUUGAAAUUCGGCACAGCUUGUACAGGAUAGGUAGGAGCCUUUGAAACGUGAGCGCUAGCUUACGUGGAGGCGCUGGUGGG
rnacentral:rRNA from 1 species